rnacentral:lncRNA from 1 species
GAGGAGUAGCACGAUCCAAUCGAGGGGCGCAAUGGGCAUGGGUUCCACCUGUGUUGAUGGUUAGUGCGCUGCUGAUUUUGAUGCGAGGUUGAUCAGCCCGGGUGAUGGACCAAACUUGGUGACCCUUUAUCAUCUGAGUCUCACCCGAAACACAAAACCGGAUUGCAUGUUUCAAUGAAAUAGGUUUUUUAUGGGGAUAUAAUC